GAUGAACGCUGGCGGCAUGCCUAAUACAUGCAAGUCGAACGGUAGCACAGAGAGCUUGCUCUCGGGUGACGAGUGGCGGACGGGUGAGUAAUGUCUGGGAAACUGCCUGAUGGAGGGGGAUAACUACUGGAAACGGUAGCUAAUACCGCAUAACGUCGCAAGACCAAAGAGGGGGACCUUCGGGCCUCUUGCCAUCAGAUGUGCCCAGAUGGGAUUAGCUAGUAGGUGGGGUAACGGCUCACCUAGGCGACGAUCCCUAGCUGGUCUGAGAGGAUGACCAGCCACACUGGAACUGAGACACGGUCCAGACUCCUACGGGAGGCAGCAGUGGGGAAUAUUGCACAAUGGGCGCAAGCCUGAUGCAGCCAUGCCGCGUGUAUGAAGAAGGCCUUCGGGUUGUAAAGUACUUUCGGCGGGGAGGAAGGUGUUGUGGUUAAUAACCGCAGCAAUUGACGUUACCCGCAGAAGAAGCACCGGCUAACUCCGUGCCAGCAGCCGCGGUAAUACGGAGGGUGCAAGCGUUAAUCGGAAUUACUGGGCGUAAAGCGCACGCAGGCGGUCUGUCAAGUCGGAUGUGAAAUCCCCGGGCUCAACCUGGGAACUGCAUUCGAAACUGGCAGGCUAGAGUCUUGUAGAGGGGGGUAGAAUUCCAGGUGUAGCGGUGAAAUGCGUAGAGAUCUGGAGGAAUACCGGUGGCGAA
rnacentral:rRNA from 1 species